GAUGAACGCUGGCGGCGUGCCUAAUACAUGCAAGUCGAGCGAACGGACGAGAAGCUUGCUUCUCUGAUGUUAGCGGCGGACGGGUGAGUAACACGUGGAUAACCUACCUAUAAGACUGGGAUAACUUCGGGAAACCGUAGCUAAUACCGGAUAAUAUUUUGAACCGCAUGGUUCAAAAGUGAAAGACGGUCCUGCUGUCACUUCUAGAUGGAUCCGCGCUGCAUUAGCUAGUUGGUAAGGUAACGGCUUACCAAGGCAACGAUGCAUAGCCGACCUGAGAGGGUGAUCGGCCACACUGGAACUGAGACACGGUCCAGACUCCUACGGGAGGCAGCAGUAGGGAAUCUUCCGCAAUGGGCGAAAGCCUGACGGAGCAACGCCGCGUGAGUGAUGAAGGUCUUCGGAUCGUAAAACUCUGUUAUCAGGGAAGAACAUAUGUGUAAGUAACUGUGCACAUCUUGACGGUACCUAAUCAGAAAGCCACGGCUAACUACGUG
rnacentral:rRNA from 1 species